rnacentral:lncRNA from 1 species
CAAGAUCUGACCCCCUCUUCUGGAGUGUCUGAAGACAGCUACAAUGUACUUACAUAUAAUAAAUAAACAGCUACAAUGUACUUACAUAUAAUAAAUAAAUAAAUAACUCUGAAGACAGCUACAAUGUACUUACAUAUAAUAAAUAAACAGCUACAAUGUACUUACAUAUAAUAAAUAAAUAAAUAAAUAAAUAAAAAAAAGAACCAAAUUCACAAGAGCAGUACGUACUUCUAACCACUGAACCACCUCUCCAUCCUCUUAAAAAAAAAAAAAAAAAAAAAAGACCACAUUUCAAGGGUUCAAUGGCCACACGUGGCCAAUGGCCACCAUGUUUGUCUGUGUAGAAGAAGAAACCAAGUGUUCCCGCCCUUGUUCAUGGCGCUACUCUGCCAUUAUAGCAGUAUUGUUAGGGCUUAUGGGGGGUGGGGGGGUUAAUUGUAAACUGAUUUUUGAAAAGGUGAUAAGUACAAGCCAAAAAUACGCCUCCCAUUUCCUGUACCUCCAUCCACUGAGCUACUUGUGGGAACUAUACACUGUUAUAUACGUGGCUUUUCCCCCUAUUUAAUGCAUUUUGGAUCCUGCUCAUAUAUAUUCAAUAGUAAUAUACUGUACUACGGGGAGGUACCAUAACUUAGUCGCUGAUGGACUUUUGGGUGAUUUCCAGUCUUUCCAACUGGGAUACGCAGGAAGGUUCUGCAGGCUGCGCUGUAAUGAAAUCCUUGCGCAUACAUGUAAAUCCUCAGAGUGCGUUAAUAGCAGGGAACUCUUGGGUCAAAAGCUACAUAUACAUUGUAAUAUAGAUCACUAAAUUGCCCCCUAAAGAGGUUGCGACAAGAAGACCUGAUCCCCACACCAUCAAACACUCUUGUGCUGUGAAUGCAAAUGUCCACAGUGACACUAGUUCUCCAAGGGAGGGGCUUCCCAUUGCCUCUGACAACCUGCCCUCUUAGACUAUCUCCCAGUCACGUCUUCCCACUGCCAAGGAUAGUGAACAUUCUUUAGGUUUUACUCAUUGUGUGUGUGUGUGUGUGAGAGAGAGUGAGUGUGUGUGAUGUGUAAGUGAGCACAGGAAGAUGUUUGCCACAGUGCAAGUGUGCAGGUGGGAGGGACCUUCCAGACUCAGUUCUCUCCUUCCACCCCGGUUCCAGGGAUCAAGCUUGGGUCAUCAAGUUUGCACCCACUGACCCAUCCUGCCAGCCCAGUCAGUGACAUUUAACUGGGUGCUUCCUAGGCCUUGCCUCUGUGUCCCAUGAACUGUUCACAGUAACCAAAUGAGAGCCAGAGCAGACGUCUCCAUUCGGGACUCCUUACUCUUCAGUACCAGUUCCCUCUACUCUUGAUCUUGAGACUGCCCUACCUGAACCCCGGAUCUGCCCAGCCCUCCCCUAGGUGAUGCCUCAGACUUUGGGGUUGGAAGAGCUGGGGAGGGGAGCAACGGUUACCAUCACCUGACCGUACCCAGCCAAUUCACAAAGACAAGAUGUCAAGUUAAUGAGCCUGUAGGCUUCUAAUUAGCUGUCAAUUACCUCAAAUUAAUCAACUCCUCGCCUAAUUAAGCAUUAUCGGCAGGUGGGCACAAAGCAGACCAUUGUGUGGGAGCCAUGAGAAAAGCUGGGCUGGCAAACUUGGUUAGGAUCAGUGCUGUGCACCGCAACAGCCUCCCUACAGCUCUGAGCUAGCGGACAGCUAAGAGGCACCAAGGACCUCUCUCCCCACUACUGGGGUCUCCAGGACCUCCUGAGGAACUGAGUGAGUGGACAGGGAGAUGUAGAGCUCAGAGUCCGGUGGGACUUUAGGGAAGUGGAUCAGUAGGAAUGGAGAGCCAUGAAGAACCCUCAAGAGCAGCCCCUGACCCCUGAGAUCCUGGGCAGGAGUGGAGCCAAGAGGAGGCCGGGAGUUGAGGCUCCCAGCGGAUGUGAACUCUGUGGCACUGGAAAUGACUUAGACUUCUUUGGGCUGCUUUUCCAUUCUAAAAAUUGAGAAGACUUUUUCAAGGCCUUCCCAGACCUCUGAGACUCUCCUUGGGAAGUGC